UAAAAGUCCUACAGCUAAAUAAAUUCUCAUGCCUGCAAAUUGUAUGUGUCUACACCACAUGUAAUGUAUACUUAUUCUCUGCUUCUCUAAUACUUGGCAGUGUGCAGCCGCUGCGCCAUUGGGUCUGAUCACUUCUGAUACUCCAGCUCUCUCCUCCACCUUCUCAAUCCCUUCAAACAAACUUGUUUUAAUGAAAAUACAUUCCUGAGUUUGGCUGAUUUAGCGGAUUUUCCUCCCACCCUCAUGUCUCCUCUCUAAAGGAUUUAGGUGUGUGUUUGUGUGUGUGUCUGUGUGUGUGUUGGGGGUUGCUGAAGCUCCAGCUGUAACAUUGGUGGCAGCAGCCCUUUUUAAGAAGUGCUGAUGCCAGAGCACCAAGUAUUUCUGUGUGCAUUCAAGGAAUGAGGAAUGCUUCUCCAACCAGCUUAGAGAGAGGUGGAAGGAAGGGUAGAGUCAGGGGGUGGUGAGGGAGGGAGGAUGGGGGAAAGGGUAGAUAGAGGCUGUUAGAGAGAAACUAACUGAGGAAAUAAAAGACAAGAGGUGGGAAAGAAGUGGGGGGAAAGGCCAUGCACUGUUUUGCACCUUCACCAUCAAUGCACUGUUUUCCCAUGGUAAGUAAUGGAUACUUCAAAGCCAAAAUAGAAGACCAUUUCAGGACACUGGUAUUGAGCACAGCCUUCACCAGGUUUAUUCUUUCAUCUUCAUGUGGAUUCAGAUCUCUGAUUGUUGCAAGCCUGUAGUGUGGCAGGUCACAUGUUUUGGUCAUGAAAUAUUGGAGGUUCCAUCAGGGGCAGAGAGCUAGGCCGAAAGAAACGGUUCAGAGUAAACGUGAAUUCAUAAAAUGAGUGAAGAGUCCUCCACUUCUCCAGCUGUCCCGUCAUCCUUCAGCGUCCUCAACUCUCCACUUCAGGCAACUCUCUGCCCCAUGGGAGCCCUGGGCACUGCCAGCUGAGCCACCUUGCCGACAGCUUUUUCCCAUGGCUGGCCAUCGACGCAUCGCUUUGUAUCCUGGAACAGACAGGAAGAACACGUCACCCCUGAAGCAGAUCACCUCCAGCAUCUCCGCCUGCCGCGUCCAGCCGCUUCCUCCGUUCUGGUGUCCCCACACUCGGAUCCCUCAGGCUCAUGAUCCCCUGGACCCCUCUGUGAUCUGCCCACUGGAUUUCCCCCCUGAUCCCACUUCCCACUCGGGGUACCUUUGCUAAUUCAACCUGUGACUUUGUGUAAACCAGUAAAAAAAACUCAGCUUGAUCUCCUUUCAAUUUGUUGUCCUCAUUUUGGGUUCAGCUCUGUUUGCUCUAAUGAGCUAGGCUUAACAGAAUAAGCUGUUGUGCUGACAUGUUAGCCAUAUUAGCUAAUUCUAUUCUAUGUUGCCCCCCCUCAAAAAAUCAAUCUCUCUGAUCAAUGUGAUGAUAAACCUGUGAUCAAAUGUAUCAAAUAAUUAGGUUUUGCUGCCAAUAAGACUGGUGUUUUGGGUUGUGGGAAUCAAAUGGAAUAUAUAUUGUGUUGAUAUAAUUAUGCGGAUAUAAAUAUGCAACAUUAUUUAAUGAAAUGAUAGACAUAUAAUUACCACAUGGUCAUAAAGAGUUACUGACAUGAAAGACGAUCAGGACGCAGGCACACAGGCUACACCGCAUGUCCUCGUCAGGCCCAGAGGUAUGACGUCUGCGGCCGAGAGCACGGUACUGGAGAACAUGGUAACAAUGCAGCUCACAGAAUGGUAGCUUGUUCACUGGUGCAGUGUUUGUGAGCACUAUUGUUAUGUUGUGUCGUUAUGAUACUUUUAUUGUUUUUUCUUUAUUACUAUUUCCCAUACAUGGAACAAGACGUGGUUUGCAUAAAAAGGAAAAAGGUCAAACAUUAGGUCUGAAACUAUAGGGUUUAGAGUGUGUGUUUGGCUUGAAAGAAAAGUGAUCAGAAUGAGAGUGAUAAAGGGUACCAGCAAAUCUGUUAGUAUUGCAAAUAACCUAUAAAAAGCCUAUCUACCUUCUGCUGGAGUGUAGUGCUGUCAUGUUCCAGUAUAACUCAUAAUUCCCACUACAUCUACUUUUAAACUUAAUACGUAUGCACCAGUACCUGCAGAGUUAGGAGCUGUGAGGUAUAGUGUACAUAGAUGAAUACAUACUGUCAUAUAUGACACACAUGAUUACACCUUAAUUCUUCCUGCAGGUGAAAAUGUG
rnacentral:lncRNA from 1 species